rnacentral:rRNA from 1 species
UACAGGGGGUGCAAACGUUGCUCGGAAUCAUUGGGCGUAAAGCGCACGUAGGCGGUUCGUUAUGUCGGAUGUGAAAGCCCUUGGCUUAACCGAGGAAGUGCAUCCGAAAACUGGCGAGCUAGAGUACGAAAGAGGAUCGCGGAAUUCCCGGUGUAGAGGUGAAAUUCGUAGAUAUCGGGAGGAACACCGGUGGCGAAGGCGGG